GAUAAGAGGGAUAAGAGAAAGUAGGCAUUUUGGGUUAUCUAUACAUGUUUAAAUAGAAGGAUGGUAAAUAGUAAUGUAAUUGUUUUGGUUAAUGUUUAGAUUAAAUUGAUUAAAUACAGCAGUGAUAACGAGUGUUUAGAUUAAAUUGGUAAAUGCAGCAGUAAUAACGAGUGUUUGGGUUAAAUUGGUAGAUACAGCAGUGAUAUUGUGUUUAUCUGUGAAUCAGGAGUGUGCUGGAUGUGAAGAGAGGUGUGUAG